AAUGGGAGGAUGACAAAUCAGAUUUUUCUCCUAAUUUUCAGCUUUUUCCUCCUGAAAAAAAUUCAAAUCCAACUAAAAAUGGUAAAACUCAGGAGGAAAAAUCUGAUUUGUCAUCCUCCCAUU
rfam:Gossypium hirsutum cultivar TM-1 chromosome 5, whole genome shotgun sequence